GAUGAACGCUGGCGGCGUGCCUAAUACAUGCAAGUCGAGCGAACGGACGCGAAGCUUGCUUCUCUGUUGUUAGCCGCAGACGGGUGUGUCACACGUGUAUAACCUACCUAUCAGACUGGUAUCACUUCGGGACACCGGCGCUUAUACCGGAUAAUCUUUUCAACCGCAUGGUUCAAAAGUGAAAGACGGUCUUGCUGUCACUUAUAGAUCUAUUCGGGCUGCAUUAGCUAGUUGGGAAGGUCACGGCUUACUAAGGUAACGAUGCAUAGCCGACCGCAGAGGGUGAUCGGCGACAUGGGAACGGGAACACGGUCAAGAGUCCUAAGGGAGGCAGCAGUAGGGAAUCGUCCGCAAUGGGCGAAAGCAUGACGGAGCAAGGCCGCGUGAGUGAUGGAGGUGUUCGGAGCGUAAAACUGUGUUAUUAGUGAAGAACAUAUGUGUAAGUAACUGUGCAGAUCGUGACGGUACCUAAUCAGAAAGCCACGGCUGACUACGUG
rnacentral:rRNA from 1 species